AAAACGCAGACGUUGAAAUGGCGAAACGAGUAUAUAUAUCAUAAGUCACUGUAGAAAGCAAUAUUUAUGGGAAGAACAGGUGUGAAAUAAUUGGUAAUCAAAAUUCCCCAGAAUACUACUAUCCUAUUGUCUAGAAGAGGAAAGAAUCAUCUCCUUAACAGAUUCCCCAGUGCGCAAUAUAUAUCCAACCAUUGUCAGGGAAAGGGAAGCAUCAUCUCCUUCCAGGUUUUUAAAUCUCUUUUACCUACAGGAUAUUCAAGGUUUUGUAAUUGAAUGUAAAAGAUCACAUGUGGGACAGGACUCUGUAGGUCACCUGACCUAUUGCUAUCUGUAUUCGUCCGUCGUCGUGUGUUCACUUUUAAACAUUUUCACCUCUUUCUCUGCAAGCAGCAAAAACCAGACCAAUUUCAACCAAUUUUGGCAUUAAGCAU